rnacentral:rRNA from 1 species
GAUGAAUGCUGGCGGCGUGCCUAACACAUGCAAGUCGAGCGGCAGCGCGGUCUUCGGACUGGCGGCGAGCGGCGGACGGCUGAGUAUCGCGUGGGAACGUACCCCAAAGUGAGGAAUAACUGCCUGAAAGGGUAGCUAAUGCCGCAUAUGGUCUUCGGAUUAAAGGAUUUAUCCGCUUUGGGAACGGCCUGCGUACGAUUAGAUUGUUGGUGAGGUAAUGGCUCACCAAGUCGACGAUCGUUAACUGGUCUGAGAGGAUGAUCAGUCAGACUGGAACUGAGACACGGUCCAGACUCCUACGGGAGGCAGCAGUGAGGAAUCUUCCACAAUGGGCGAAAGCCUGAUGGAGCAACGCCGCGUGCAGGAUGAAGGCCUUCGGGUCGUAAACUGCUUUUAUAAGUGAAGAAUAUGACGGUAACUUAUGAAUAAGCACCGGCUAACUACGUGCCAGCAGCCGCAGUA